rnacentral:misc_RNA from 1 species
UCACCCCUCAAGCCCCCGGCUUGGUGUUGGACGGUUUGGUUUUGGCGACAAAACCCCUCCUAAAGCUAAUGACAGCGGCCUGUGCGACUCCCGGUACACUGAGCUCCUUAACUGAGCACGUACUGGCUUCAGGGUUGACGGGGCCGGUCUUCUUCCUUCACGGGAAACACUUUCCACAA